UUUUCUUUUACUCUCUUUUUCCUGUCCUUCCUCCCUAGUAUACAGGGGUUGUGUUUGAUGGGUGAUGGCUGGAGUGGGUGACGUGAGCUGUGUGAAUGAACAACAGCAUUUCCCAUCUUUUUCUCUCUUUUACUAUCCCUCCACCCUUAUGUUUGGGCCAGGCCCAUACUCCUCUACUUUUUCACUCAGAAACUGCACUCUCUCUUUCCUUGGAGUGUUUUCCCCUCUUUGCUCUCCCACUUCUAUCUCUCCCUCUCUCUAUCACCCAGUCUGGGGCCCCUCCUUUACCCACUCUCCCCUGCUUUCUUUCUAAAGUCUUUCUCUGUCUUUCUACUCUCUCCUGCUGUGUUGCAUUCCUGUUUCAGUAGUGAAGGGGGUGGACAAGGAAGAGGGAGGGAUGAAGAGGAAGGGGGAACUUGAGCUUUAAAGAGGGAGGGAGAGGGAGAGAUGGAAAGGGGGAAGGAGGGCCCCUUUCUUUAUGAGAAUGCCUUCUGCCGGGAGUGCUGAGAGGAGAACCCCAGCAUGACUAAAGCCGUAGGCCCCAAGCACAAACCUGACCUUUGGAGGGUCCGCGCAAAGAGUCAGGUACUGUUUCAAGGAGUCAUAGCAGGCGGCAGAAAUCCUCCGGGCUGUGUCUAAACCGACUGGGCUGAAGGUUUAACUGCGGACUUCAAAGUAAAGAACCGCUGGCAUGGUCCCGGAAGGUACAUAAAAACACAGCGUCUCAGCGUUUCUCCAACCAAUGACAUAAAACAAAAUAAAAUGAACUAGAAUAAAGAUAAAACAAUAGAAGCA